CCCUGCCAAUAGCAUGUACCUUGACGUGGUGGUAGGGCAACUAAUUGAUCAAUAAUUACAAAAUACAGUAUUAUGUUAGUAAUUGGUCAAUUAGACUAAACAUGC
rnacentral:ribozyme from 1 species